UUGCUCCCGGAUGUUAGCGGCGGACGGGUGAGUAACACGUGGGUAACCUGCCUGUAAGACUGGGAUAACUCCGGGAAACCGGAGCUAAUACCGGAUAGUUCCUUGAACCGCAUGGUUCAAGGAUGAAAGACGGUUUCGGCUGUCACUUACAGAUGGACCCGCGGCGCAUUAGCUAGUUGGUGGGGUAAUGGCUCACCAAGGCGACGAUGCGUAGCCGACCUGAGAGGGUGAUCGGCCACACUGGGACUGAGACACGGCCCAGACUCCUACGGGAGGCAGCAGUAGGGAAUCUUCCGCAAUGGACGAAAGUCUGACGGAGCAACGCCGCGUGAGUGAUGAAGGUUUUCGGAUCGUAAAGCUCUGUUGUUAGGGAAGAACAAGUGCGAGAGUAACUGCUCGCACCUUGACGGUACCUAACCAGAAAGCCACGGCUAACUACGUGCCAGCAGCCGCGGUAAUACGUAGGUGGCAAGCGUUGUCCGGAAUUAUUGGGCGUAAAGGGCUCGCAGGCGGUUUCUUAAGUCUGAUGUGAAAGCCCCCGGCUCAACCGGGGAGGGUCAUUGGAAACUGGGAAACUUGAGUGCAGAA
rnacentral:rRNA from 1 species